rnacentral:rRNA from 1 species
CGGAGGAGCUAGCGUUAUUCGGAAUUACUGGCGUAAGCGCACGUAGGCGGCUUGUAAGUUAGAGGUGAAGCCUGGAGCUCAACUCCAGAAUUGCCUUUGAUACUGCAUGGCUUGAAUCCAGGAGAGGUGAGUGGAAUUCCGAGUGUAGAGGUGAAAUUCGUAGAUAUUCGGAAGAACACCAGUGGCGAAGGCGGCUCACUGGACUGGUAUUGACGCUGAGGUGCGAAAGCGUGGAGCAAACAGGAUU